rnacentral:tRNA from 1 species
GUCCGCCUGGUGCGGGUGGUGCGCCGCGUUGCGUGCGGCGUGGGCGAAGAUCACGCGGCGCUCCGGGUUCACGGUCGCGAUGCGGUUC